rnacentral:lncRNA from 1 species
GCGGGGAAGGCACAGCUGCAGGCGAACGCCCAGGCCUGCGGCUCACACUGGGUUUUAACAACCAAGCCUGAACCCGACAGCCCGCGCUGGCGCUGCCGUGACGCGUGGCACCAGGCGCAGGACGACUAGCCCGCCGGUUUCCUGGACGCGCGAGGUGGCCGGAGCGGACGCGCACGAGGGUGGAGUGGGCGCGCGGCACAGCCCUGUGAGAUCCAGCCCUUCCUGCAGCGGGGACCCUGUGAGCUUCAGAGCCUCAAGUGCAAACCCGCAGGACACGAAUCGGCAGAUUUAAGUCACCCCCAAAAUGCUCCGACCUGAUCGUCCCCUCCUCAUCCUCCUCCCCAAGAAAGCUUAAUUUUAAAGGUGAUUUCAUCUCCAGCUUGCCGAGACAACGUAACUCAUUAGCUUAUACAGCUUUCUAGUACCCCUCGGAAUGAUCUUUAAAUGAAUGCAGAACUGCAUAGCUUGCCAAUAGAAUCGAAUUCAACGCGGCCAGGCAGACUGGACUCCGAGAGGUAGCUAAAGAAAGCAACACCAGAAAACUUGCACCAUAUUUAGCAGUUUUACUACAGCGGGAUACAGAAACGGCCCUGGAGGAGCGCGGCUGGAAGCCACUCGGAGCCUCGUUAGCGUCUGGCCCCAGCUCCAGCCCCAGCCCCACUGCUGUGGGACGAGAGGCUGGCUGGACUAGACACACAGUGUCCUUGGGCAAAGCAGAGGAGGGUGUCAGGAUCGCAGAGUGUCCAAGAAUCACAAGCAAUAAUGUGCGAAUCCCAAAGAUGUUUGUUUACCUUGGCUAUUAUUGUAGAAUAGUCAGAGUAUAACAUCAUGAACCAAAACAAUGUCAAAACAAAAUCUGUUCUGCUGUGGCACGUAUGUGACAGAGAAACAUGCACCCAAAGUACAUCAAAAGGCUCGAACUCUGGGGACUCGGAUGGUGAGUCAUUCCCAGGCUUGAUAUCAGAGGCCACCUCAAUCAUCAGACUUUAUCGAGAAGCCAGGGCCCAGGGAAGGUCUUGGUGGCCGAGCCCUCAGCCUUCCUCCAAGCUCAAGCAUCUGGGCUUUAUGGAGUGACACCCACUUCAGUGCCACAGCUGCCUCCCAGAGAAAGCCCAGGGCACUUGGCUGUCACACCGAGGUCAGCCUGGCCCACCACGGAGGACUUAAUCAUUAAUUGAAGGAAAAAGUACUGUUUCACCCCCUAGGGCUUUUUUUUUCCAUCUCUGGCCUUCUUCCUGUCUUAAAUACAAAGGACGUGGAGAUGGAGAAAAAAGCAAGGUACUAAGAUGACGUUUUCCAGGGUUCUCUAGUUUGUUUUCCACUAUGAUUUUUAUAUGACCUCAGUAGGAUUUUUUUUCCCCAAGCACACCAGUAAAUACACUGUGGUCUUCAGUUGAGCAGGACUUCCAUGUGAAUUAAAGUAUUUGAGUCAGGAGCUGGAAACUUAUUUAGAUCGGAAGGAUGAGUUCUCAGGACUGACAGCAGAACAAAUCCUGAAGUUGCCUCCACUACCUGUGUUGAACAGCUUCCAAAUCUUAUACAUAACAAAAUAUUCUUUAAAUAAAGUGUUAAGGUGUCGAUGAAUGGAUAGAGCUUCUGAAACACAGUAGGUGGUGGAAUGUGAAGCCAGAAAUCAGGAUUGUGCAUAAUUAACGCACAAACCCAAGGCUCUGGGCAGUGUGGAAAGGGGCUUCUGAGAGCUCUCCUCGCGAUUUCCAUGCACAGGAUCGGCCUGGCCGCCUGGCCAGGUUCCUGAAGAGAGCGCCCUCCCCGGGCUCCUCAGCGGUCAGGGUGGGCCCGGAUUCCCAGUGCAGUCAUCUUACUGAUUUGCCAAUAAUGCCUCCUGCUCUGCAC